rnacentral:miRNA from 1 species
UAGCCCUUACCCCCCCGACUAGU